AUGGGAAAGAAAGCUAAUGAGCCUCUCUCUUUUUUAUUAGCACUGCCCUAUCUGAGGCCAAAGGGGCCAAGGUGGAGACAGGUCGUGUCCAAGAGCGCCUCCCUCUGGUGGGAGGGCUGUCACUUUGUAACCUAUUGUGACAGGCUUGUUUGGCUGUUGGCUCAAAAUAGGGAUUCCGUUCCUUCCCACUUUGUUUCCCCUACCUGUGGGUGGCUCCCUGCAGUGAAAUAUGUAAACUAUUCAAGAGACUCUUAAGAGUUUUAAGCUGAACUCAGAACAAAUUACCUUUGCCAGGCCUGGUGGAUGGAGGUUUUUCAGUUUGCUUAGAUUGCCACGUGGAAAGGGGGCAAUCAGGAUAAACGGGCCCACAAAGCCUAUGGGUUGUGCUCCUGACCCAGUGCGACCGGGGACUUCCUCCUGGAGAACAGCAUGGUGGUUACCUAUCUCUUCGGGAGCCAUCAAUGCCCCAGUGUGAAAUGCAGUAACUAGGUUUAAGAAACGAAGCACAGCGCAAUUUCACAGCUCAGGGCANNNNNNCAAGACAGGCUUAUGGUGUGGCUACUUGGGGAGAUAUUAAGUGAAAGGUAAUUUUGAAAACCGCCGCCCGUCCCAGCCAAGAAAAGCUCAUUUAGCUGCAGCAGUGACGAGGGGGCUUGCCCGUGUGGGAUGGUGGUGGGAAGCAAUGGAUGAUAAGGUCCGACAGGGUGGAGGCUGUGCCUUCGUCCUCUCAGCAUUCCAGGACACAGGGAGCUCAAGAGUAACUGAAACACUUUGAUCCAUAAAAAAUCUUGACUCUUUCCAGAGCUCUUGGCUUGUAGCCAGUUGAGACAGUGGCCUGGAGAGAAUGAGAACGGGAUUUGCUGGGGGGGGGGGGGGGGNNNNNNNNNNNNNNNNNNNNAACCGCUGUCUCAGUGUGUUAUCACACGUUCUCCCGCUCGUGCCCAACCCUCACACACCCCCGCCCCAGAUCCGGGGAAGCCCCCGUCUAGUCCAACCCGGCAGGAAGAGCUUUCUGUGCCGGGCAGCCCUCCAGGACAGAGCAGUCAAGAUAUAGGACAAAGUACUUGGUAUGACAACAGAGACAAAAUGUCAAGAAUGGAUGAUUAAGCAUAAAAUUAUAUUAUUUGGUAUAUUUUAUAAACCUACAUAGAAAAACAAAUAUAGAAAAGUAGGCAGAACUUUUAAAGUUACCCAGAAUCACUGUAGCCUUUGAUAAUAUUUUUAAACAUAUUUCUUUAUCUCUUUUUCUAUGCAAUAUUUUUUUUCUAUAAUUGUGGCAUAUGGCACACAGCAUUUGUAUAUGACUUUGAAAGUCAUAAUUGUUUCCCUGUAAAGUUAUUAUAUACUCUCCAUAAAUACUUUUUAUGCCUGUAGUAUGACAGGGUCAUAGUUUAUGUACCCAUUAUUCUGUGAUGGCACCAUGAUAUUAUUUCCAGUUUCUCACCAUUUACUAAUAGUGCCAUAAAGAAUGUCCUUAGGCAUAUAGGAUUUUCUUUCUUCAAAAUUAUUUUCUUGGGAAAACUUUUAUGACCUAGGAUUGGACAAAGGGUUCUUAAAAAUGUUACCGACAUAGGGUGUGUAAAAGAAAAAAUUAGUAAUUCGGACCUCAGCAAUUAAAAAACUUGCUCGACCUAAGAUACCACCAAGAAAAUAGAGAGACAAGCUGUACAUGGGGAGAAAAUGUUUGCACAUCACAUUUCUGACAAAGGUCAUGUGUUCAGGAUAUAUUUUUUAAAAGAUCAAAACUCAACAAUAACAAACAACCCAUUAAAAAGUGGGCAAAAGACUUGAACAGAAUCUUUCCCAGAGGGGAUAGAGGAA
rnacentral:lncRNA from 1 species